rnacentral:rRNA from 1 species
GGGUUGUGAGGUUAAGCGACUAAGCGUACACGGUGGAUGCCCUGGCAGUCAGAGGCGAUGAAGGACGUGCUAAUCUGCGAUAAGCGUCGGUGAGGUGAUAUGAACCGUUAUAACCGGCGAUUUCCGAAUGGGGAAACCCAGUGUGUUUCGACACACUAUCAUUAACUGAAUCCAUAGGUUAAUGAGGCGAACCGGGGGAACUGAAACAUCUAAGUACCCCGAGGAAAAGAAAUCAACCGAGAUUCCCCAGUAGCGGCGAGCGAACGGGGAGGAGCCCAGAGCCUGAAUCAGUGUGUGUGUUAGUGGAAGCGUCUGGAAAGGCGCGCGAUACAGGGUGACAGCCCCGUACACAAAAAUGCACAUAUUGUGAGCUCGAUGAGUAGGGCGGGACACGUGGUAUCCUGUCUGAAUAUGGGGGACCAUCCUCCAAGGCUAAAUACUCCUGACUGACCGAUAGUGAACCAGUACCGUGAGGGAAAGGCGAAAAGAACCCCGGCGAGGGGAGUGAAAAAGAACCUGAAACCGUGUACGUACAAGCAGUGGGAGCCUCUUAAUGGGGUGACUGCGUACCUUUUGUAUAAUGGGUCAGCGACUUAUAUUCUGUAGCAAGGUUAACCGAAUAGGGGAGCCGAAGGGAAACCGAGUCUUAACUGGGCGUUAAGUUGCAGGGUAUAGACCCGAAACCCGGUGAUCUAGCCAUGGGCAGGUUGAAGGUUGGGUAACACUAACUGGAGGACCGAACCGACUAAUGUUGAAAAAUUAGCGGAUGACUUGUGGCUGGGGGUGAAAGGCCAAUCAAACCGGGAGAUAGCUGGUUCUCCCCGAAAGCUAUUUAGGUAGCGCCUCGUGAAUUCAUCUCCGGGGUAGAGCACUGUUUCGGCAAGGGGGUCAUCCCGACUUACCAACCCGAUGCAAACUGCGAAUACCGGAGAAUGUUAUCACGGGAGACACACGGCGGGUGCUAACGUCCGUCGUGAAGAGGGAAACAACCCAGACCGCCAGCUAAGGUCCCAAAGUCAUGGUUAAGUGGGAAACGAUGUGGGAAGGCCCAGACAGCCAGGAUGUUGGCUUAGAAGCAGCCAUCAUUUAAAGAAAGCGUAAUAGCUCACUGGUCGAGUCGGCCUGCGCGGAAGAUGUAACGGGGCUAAACCAUGCACCGAAGCUGCGGCAGCGACGCUUAUGCGUUGUUGGGUAGGGGAGCGUUCUGUAAGCCUGUGAAGGUGUGCUGUGAGGCAUGCUGGAGGUAUCAGAAGUGCGAAUGCUGACAUAAGUAACGAUAAAGCGGGUGAAAAGCCCGCUCGCCGGAAGACCAAGGGUUCCUGUCCAACGUUAAUCGGGGCAGGGUGAGUCGACCCCUAAGGCGAGGCCGAAAGGCGUAGUCGAUGGGAAACAGGUUAAUAUUCCUGUACUUGGUGUUACUGCGAAGGGGGGACGGAGAAGGCUAUGUUGGCCGGGCGACGGUUGUCCCGGUUUAAGCGUGUAGGCUGGUUUUCCAGGCAAAUCCGGAAAACCAAGGCUGAGGCGUGAUGACGAGGCACUACGGUGCUGAAGCAACAAAUGCCCUGCUUCCAGGAAAAGCCUCUAAGCAUCAGGUAACAUCAAAUCGUACCCCAAACCGACACAGGUGGUCAGGUAGAGAAUACCAAGGCGCUUGAGAGAACUCGGGUGAAGGAACUAGGCAAAAUGGUGCCGUAACUUCGGGAGAAGGCACGCUGAUAUGUAGGUGAAGCGACUUGCUCGUGGAGCUGAAAUCAGUCGAAGAUACCAGCUGGCUGCAACUGUUUAUUAAAAACACAGCACUGUGCAAACACGAAAGUGGACGUAUACGGUGUGACGCCUGCCCGGUGCCGGAAGGUUAAUUGAUGGGGUUAGCGGUAACGCGAAGCUCUUGAUCGAAGCCCCGGUAAACGGCGGCCGUAACUAUAACGGUCCUAAGGUAGCGAAAUUCCUUGUCGGGUAAGUUCCGACCUGCACGAAUGGCGUAAUGAUGGCCAGGCUGUCUCCACCCGAGACUCAGUGAAAUUGAACUCGCUGUGAAGAUGCAGUGUACCCGCGGCAAGACGGAAAGACCCCGUGAACCUUUACUAUAGCUUGACACUGAACAUUGAGCCUUGAUGUGUAGGAUAGGUGGGAGGCUUUGAAGUGUGGACGCCAGUCUGCAUGGAGCCGACCUUGAAAUACCACCCUUUAAUGUUUGAUGUUCUAACGUUGGCCCGUAAUCCGGGUUGCGGACAGUGUCUGGUGGGUAGUUUGACUGGGGCGGUCUCCUCCUAAAGAGUAACGGAGGAGCACGAAGGUUGGCUAAUCCUGGUCGGACAUCAGGAGGUUAGUGCAAUGGCAUAAGCCAGCUUGACUGCGAGCGUGACGGCGCGAGCAGGUGCGAAAGCAGGUCAUAGUGAUCCGGUGGUUCUGAAUGGAAGGGCCAUCGCUCAACGGAUAAAAGGUACUCCGGGGAUAACAGGCUGAUACCGCCCAAGAGUUCAUAUCGACGGCGGUGUUUGGCACCUCGAUGUCGGCUCAUCACAUCCUGGGGCUGAAGUAGGUCCCAAGGGUAUGGCUGUUCGCCAUUUAAAGUGGUACGCGAGCUGGGUUUAGAACGUCGUGAGACAGUUCGGUCCCUAUCUGCCGUGGGCGCUGGAGAACUGAGGGGGGCUGCUCCUAGUACGAGAGGACCGGAGUGGACGCAUCACUGGUGUUCGGGUUGUCAUGCCAAUGGCACUGCCCGGUAGCUAAAUGCGGAAGAGAUAAGUGCUGAAAGCAUCUAAGCACGAAACUUGCCCCGAGAUGAGUUCUCCCUGAGACUUAGAGUCUCCUGAAGGAACGUUGAAGACGACGACGUUGAUAGGCCGGGUGUGUAAGCGCAGCGAUGCGUUGAGCUAACCGGUACUAAUGAACCGUGAGGCUUAACCUUACAACGCCGAAG